AAAUUGAAGAGUUUGAUCAUGGCUCAGAUUGAACGCUGGCGGCAGGCCUAACACAUGCAAGUCGAACGGUAACAGGAAGCAGCUUGCUGCUUCGCUGACGAGUGGCGGACGGGUGAGUAAUGUCUGGGAAACUGCCUGAUGGAGGGGGGAUAACUACUGGAAACGGUAGCUAAUACCGCAUAACGUCGCAAGACCAAAGAGGGGGACCUUCGGGCCUCUUGCCAUCGGAUGUGC
rnacentral:rRNA from 1 species